AGGCAGUGAACAACAAUGAAAGCACCUACAGGGGGAGAUCUCGAGCUCUGUGGAUAAAAAUGGCUACUCUUAAUUUCAUACUUAUUUUAACUGGAUCAGUCAUCACUGAUUUAGCCAAGUGAAGACUAGGUCUUUCCAACCUGAAUAUAAGUUAAACUGCACUGUGAUUAACGCAAUUGUCAAAUGUGAAAAGCUGUCACACAGCACACAGAGAAAGCCAAGACCAGCAAGAGCCAGCCAGGCAUCAAGAUCUUCAUCUGCUCUGAAGAGCGAUCAAAAGAGUUAUCCAGAGAAGACCAAGACAAUUCCUGUAGUGAUGGGGAGAUAGGAGCACCCAGGAAGCCAUUAAGCACUAUGGUCACACAGGAGCCAGUCCAACAAAAGACAUCUCAUGCCCACCACUGCCACAAAAUUGAAGCCAACCUGUGAUCCCUCACAGCAAGGACCAGUAAG